rnacentral:rRNA from 1 species
ACGCUGGCGGCACGCCUAAUACAUGCAAGUCGAACGCAGUAGCAAUACUGAGUGGCAGACGGGUGAGUAUAAUGUGGGAAUAUGCCUUUUGGUUUGGAAUAACUUGGGGAAACUUGAGCUAAUACCGAAUAAGCCCUUACGGGGAAAGAUUUAUCGCCGAAAGAUUAGCCCGCACUUGAUUAGCUUGUUGGUGAGGUAAAAGCUCACCAAGGCAACGAUCAAUAGCUGUUCUUAGAGGAAGACCAGCCACAUUGGGACUGAGACACGGCCCAGACUCCUACGGGAGGCAGCAGUAGGGAAUCUUGCACAAUGGAGGAAACUCUGAUGCAGCGAUGCCGCGUGAGUGAAGAAGGCCUUUGGGUUGUAAAACUCUUUCGUCGGGGAAGAAAAUGACUGUACCCGAAUAAGAAGGUCCGGCUAACUUCGUGCCAGCAGCCGCGGUAAUACGAAGGGAUCUAGCGUAGUUCGGAAUUACUGGGCUUAAAGAGCUCGUAGGUGGUUAGAAAAGUUGGUGGUGAAAUCCCAAGGCUCAACCUUGGAACUGCCAUCAAAACUUUUUAGCUAGAGUGUGAUAGAGGAAAGUGGAAUUUCUAGUGUAGAGGUGAAAUUCGUAGAUAUUAGAAAGAACACCAAAAGCGAAGGCAACUUUCUGGAUCACUACUGACACUGAGGAGCGAAAGCAUGGGUAGCGAAGAGGAUUAGAUACCCUCGUAGUCCAUGCUGUAAACGAUGUGUGCUAGACGUUGGAAAUUUAUUUUUCAGUGUCGCAGCAAAAGCGUUAAGCACACCGCCUGGGGAGUACGACCG